rnacentral:rRNA from 1 species
AGCAGUCGCACGGGAAUACGAAGGGUGCAAGCGUUAAUCGGAAUUACUGGGCGUAAAGCGUGCGUAGGCGGUUUGUUAAGUCUGUUGUGAAAUCCCCGGGCUCAACCUGGGAAUGGCAAUGGAUACUGGCAAGCUAGAGUGUGUCAGAGGAUGGUGGAAUUCCCGGUGUAGCGGUGAAAUGCGUAGAGAUCGGGAGGAACAUCAGUGGCGAAGGCGGCCAUCUGGGACAACACUGACGCUGAGGCACGAAAGCGUGGGGAGCAAACAGGAUUAGAUACCCCAGUAGUCCCUGUCUCUUAUACA